GGGUCAGUAGGUCGGUCGUGCCACCGGUACGUACUGGUCUCACUGAUUCCUCCUUCCUGAAGAACCGUAACGCCAUUAAUUUGGUGUUGCGGGGAAACAGGACUGUUACUUUGAAAAAAUUAGAGUGUUUAAAGCAAGCUAACGCUUGAAUACAUUAGCAUGGAAUAAUGAAAUAGGACGAUCGACCCUAUUUUGUUGGUUUCUAGGAUUGACGUA
rnacentral:rRNA from 1 species